rnacentral:lncRNA from 1 species
GCGGCGGAGUCGAGAGGGGAGAGAGAGAGUCGAGAGAGACAGGGAGGACGCAGGAGGAGGCAGGGAGAUUAGAUGUGAGAGACGAAGGAAACUAGGGCUUCUAGUUUCUAAAUUUCCUAAAUAAAAUCUAUUUUUUUUCUUUUUUUCAGUUUUAAUAUUCAAUUUUUGGUAUUUAGAUUUUAUAUAAGUGUUACUUAAUGAUAAAACAAAAAAAUGUUAUGAUUUUUUUAUUUUUCAAAGUCUAUAUCUAG